AGCAGCCGCGGUAAUUCCAGCUCCAAUAGCGUAUAUUAAAGUUGUUGCAGUUAAAAAGCUCGUAGUUGAAUUUCGGGGUCAGUAGAUUGGUCGUGCCACUGGUAUGUACUGGUCUUACUGGCUCCUCCUUCCUGAUGAACCGUAAUGCCAUUAAUUUGGUGUUGCGGGGAAACUGGACUGUUACUUUGAAAAAAUUGAGUGUUUAAAGCAGGCUAACGCUUGAAUACAUUAGCAUGGAAUAAUGAAAUAGGACGUUCGAUCUUAUUUUGUUGGUUUCUAGGAUUGACGUAAUGAUUAAUAGGGAUAGUUGGGGGCAUUAGUAUUCAAUUGUCAGAGGUGAAAUUCUUGGAUUUAUUGAAGACUAACUACUGCGAAAGCAUUUGCCAAGGAUGUUUUCAUUAAUCAAGACGAAAGUUAGGGGAUCGAAGGCGAUCAGAUACCGUCGUAGUC
rnacentral:rRNA from 1 species